UGCAAGUCGAGCGGACAGAUGGGAGCUUGCUCCCUGAUGUUAGCGGCGGACGGGUGAGUAACACGUGGGUAACCUGCCUGUAAGACUGGGAUAACUCCGGGAAACCGGGGCUAAUACCGGAUGGUUGUUUGAACCGCAUGGUUCAAACAUAAAAGGUGGCUUCGGCUACCACUUACAGAUGGACCCGCGGCGCAUUAGCUAGUUGGUGAGGUAACGGCUCACCAAGGCAACGAUGCGUAGCCGACCUGAGAGGGUGAUCGGCCACACUGGGACUGAGACACGGCCCAGACUCCUACGGGAGGCAGCAGUAGGGAAUCUUCCGCAAUGGACGAAAGUCUGACGGAGCAACGCCGCGUGAGUGAUGAAGGUUUUCGGAUCGUAAAGCUCUGUUGUUAGGGAAGAACAAGUACCGUUCGAAUAGGGCGGUACCUUGACGGUACCUAACCAGAAAGCCACGGCUAACUACGUGCCAGCAGCCGCGGUAAUACGUAGGUGGCAAGCGUUGUCCGGAAUUAUUGGGCGUAAAGGGCUCGCAGGCGGUUUCUUAAGUCUGAUGUGAAAGCCCCCGGCUCAACCGGGGAGGGUCAUUGGAAACUGGGGAACUUGAGUGCAGAAGAGGAGAGUGGAAUUCCACGUGUAGCGGUGAAAUGCGUAGAGAUGUGGAGGAACACCAGUGGCGAAGGCGACUCUCUGGUCUGUAACUGACGCUGAGGAGCGAAAGCGUGGGGAGCGAACAGGAUUAGAUACCCUGGUAGUCCACGCCGUAAA
rnacentral:rRNA from 1 species